rnacentral:rRNA from 1 species
AUACGGAGGGGGCUAGCGUUGUUCGGAAUUACUGGGCGUAAAGCGCGUGUAGGCGGAUCGUUAAGUCAGGGGUGAAAGCCCGAAGCUCAACUCCGGAAUUGCCCUUGAUACUGGCGGUCUAGAGGCCGGGAGAGGUGAGCGGAAUUCCCAGUGUAGAGGUGAAAUUCGUAGAUAUUGGGAGGAACACCAGUGGCGAAGGCGGCUCACUGGCCCGGUUCUGACGCUGAGACGCGAAAGCGUGGGGAGCAAACAGGAUUAGAAACCCUAGUAGUCC